rnacentral:lncRNA from 1 species
AACAGCGCUAGCACGUGGCUGCCCAUUCCCUAAGCGCUACUCUUGAUAGAGGUGGUUUGUGAAGAUGUAAACUUGGAAAGCACUAAUGGCUAUGGCUUAGAGAGGGGUUAGGGGGUGUUUAAAUAGGAAGAAGGCCCUCCCUGGCGAGAUCACGAGCGGCAAAUUUGAAUUUGCAUGCACAUAAGGAUAGGGAUGACGAAGAGAUAGACGUUGGAAAAGAUCGGGCCGCAGACAUGUCAGGCCAGGGGCGGCCGACCCCUGGGCACGUCUGCUGGCCCUGAAUUUUGGCGUGCGCGCUCGUCCCACUUUUCAAAUUUUGAAUCUGCCUACGUUUUGCUA